rnacentral:pre_miRNA from 1 species
CGUGCACCAGUGGGGUCCCUCAGCCUGGUCUGCACCCUCUCACAAUCCAGGGAAUGUCGGAGAGCUGGUUUUGGCCCAAUCCUGCAGGCCAGGCAGAGGGACCCCACUGGUGCACA